ACCUGAGUAGUGAGAAGGAAGCUUUUAAAAAUAUGUUUUAAAAAAUAAGAAGAAAAAGAUAACUGUAACGCAUUCCUUUGUAGGGACUCCUGCUUCUGUCGCAGGUCAAGCGACGAGCAACUAGCCUCUCCUUGCUUUGCCUUCUCCCCUCUAGGGACAGGCAAAGUUGAGGCUGUGGCUGUGGUUUUCUCCUGCUUUGAGUUUCAAGAUUCUUGUCCUCAGAGAACAUCCUGAAAUAACUAUGAUGUAUUUGUACAACACCUGUGAUUUACAUAAAUGAAAAACCAGACUGGCAGAAGUUACGGUCAUUCGGGAAGCUGGUGACAGAUAUGCAGGGGUUCAUUGUGCUAUUUCAUGUUUGGUUUUGUUUUCUCUUUGUAGCCCUGGUCAUCCUGGAACUCACUCUGUAGAGCAGGUUGGCCUCAAACUCAGAGAUCUGCCUGCCUCUGCCUCCUGAGUUCUGGGAUUAAAGGCAUGCAUCACCAUGCCUGGCACCUUUGAAUUUUUCAAAGUGAACAUUUACAAAUGGGAGGAUCAUGAGUCCUUGAAGAAAAUGUUGAAGCUAGAAAACUUCCUAAGUCAACUAGCAACUUGGCUAAGCAAUCAUUUGAGCCCUCUGUUUUCAAAGCAACGGAAUCUGAGGAAUCUUCGUGACAAGAAAAGGACCCAAGUCAGGCCAGUCAGGGAGCUCUCGAGGAGGUAAGGAAGAAGGGGUCCCUAAAGCUGGAGGAGCAGCAUGAAGCAGGAGCUCCUCAGUACUCCCAGGAUUGCCUCUGGGGGUGCAACAGCAGAAACUGCAGAUGCCAGUCUGCUGGAAGUAUACCUCAAAACAACCUUAGGGAACUAGAAACAAGAAGAAAGCCCAAAAAAUGUAAGAGGAGACAUUCUUUCCAUCUCUGUCUCUCAGAGAGAUCACAAUUACACAAAAAUCAAAGGCAUGAUUUGCUGAAUCUAGAAUGUUCCCUAAGACUCAUGCAUUAGAGACUUGGGCCCCUGGGUGGCACUGUUGGGACAUAGUGGGACAGUCCUUCAUUAGGGGCAGCCCUUUACAGGACAUUAUGGGACCCCAGCUCCGGCUACACUCUUUACUCCCACUCUCAUGAUGUAAACUGUUUGGCUCUGCCAUGUAUUACCACCAUGUUAUGCUCAAAGCAAGGAGGCAGUUGACCGUGGACUGGAACCUAUUAAACUGUAGGACAAAACAAAUCUUUGUUCUUUAAGUUGAACACUGUAAGUAUUUUGCUAAAGUGAUCUUUUUAUUUUUAAUUCUUAUUUAUUUGCUUCUUUUUUUAGUGAUUUUUUUAAUUGACUAACAAAACCAGGUGUGAUAACAUACUCCUUUCAUCCCAACAUUUGAGAGACAGAAGUAGGGAGGCCAGCUUGGUUUCUGUAGCAAGUUCCAGGCUAGCCAGGGCAACAUAGUGAGACUGUCUCAAAAACAAUUAACAAAACCAAAAAAUAAAUAAACAAAAUAAAAUGAGAAACAACAACCAACUUAACUGACACAGACUCCAAACUGAGGCAGGGGCUACAGAGAACUGGUCAGAUUUCUAGUUGUGCUGGUAACUAAAGGUGUGAGCCUGUAAGUGUGUAAGCUCUAUAUAUGUGCAAAGUGAAUUUUUACUCUUUCGCUUAAAACAUUUCUACCAUCACUGGGGUUCACAACACCUUAUAUCAACCUUAUAUCAGACCAUUCUGGCCUCUAAAAGAUUUUUUUGAGUGUAUAUGUGUAUGUAUGCAAGGGGGGUUAUGUGUGCCACGAGUAUGUGGGUGCCCAA